rnacentral:rRNA from 1 species
ACCUUCGGGUCUAGCGGCGGACGGGUUAGUAACGCGUGGGAAUAUACCCAAAGGUACGGAAUAGCCCCGGGAAGCUGGGAGUAAUACCGUAUGUGCCCUACGGGGGAAAGAUUUAUCGCCUUUGGAUUAGCCCGCGUUAGAUUAGGUAGUUGGUGGGGUAAUGGCCUACCAAGCCUACGAUCUAUAGCUGGUUUGAGAGGAUGAUCAGCAACACUGGGACUGAGACACGGCCCAGACUCCUACGGGAGGCAGCAGUGGGGAAUCUUGGACAAUGGGCGCAAGCCUGAUCCAGCCAUGCCGCGUGAGUGACGAAGGCCUUAGGGUCGUAAAGCUCUUUCGCCAGGGAAGAUAAUGACGGUACCUGGUAAAGAAACCCCGGCUAACUCCGUGCCAGCAGCCGCGGUAAUACGGAGGGGGUUAGCGUUGUUCGGAAUUACUGGGCGUAAAGCGCACGUAGGCGGAUCAGUCAGUCAGAGGUGAAAUCCCAGGGCUCAACCCUGGAACUGCCUUUGAUACUGCUAGUCUUGAGUUCGAGAGAGGUGAGUGGAAUUCCGAGUGUAGAGGUGAAAUUCGUAGAUAUUCGGAGGAACACCAGUGGCGAAGGCGGCUCACUGGCUCGAUACUGACGCUGAGGUG